rnacentral:rRNA from 1 species
UAGAGUUUGAUCCUGGCUCAGGACGAACGCUGGCGACGUGCUUAACACAUGCAAGUCGAACGGAAAGGCCCCUUCGGGGGUGCUCGAGUGGCGAACGGGUGAGUAACACGUGGGUGAUCUGCCCUGCACUUCGGGAUAAGCUUGGGAAACUGGGUCUAAUACCGGAUAGGACCAUGGCCUGCAUGGGUUGUGGUGGAAAGCUUUUGCGGUGUGGGAUGGGCCCGCGGCCUAUCAGCUUGUUGGUGGGGUGAUGGCCUACCAAGGCGACGACGGGUAGCCGGCCUGAGAGGGUGUCCGGCCACACUGGGACUGAGAUACGGCCCAGACUCCUACGGGAGGCAGCAGUGGGGAAUAUUGCACAAUGGGUGCAAGCCUGAUGCAGCGACGCCGCGUGGGGGAUGACGGCCUUCGGGUUGUAAACCUCUUUCACCAUCGACGAAGGCCUGCCUUUUGGGUGGGUUGACGGUAGGUGGAGAAGAAGCACCGGCCAACUACGUGCCAGCAGCCGCGGUAAUAC